UGGUUGUUUGAAACAACAUACAUAAACUUUAAAACAAACUAAAAUAGUAGUUUGUAUGCCUCACAUCUUUGGAACUCUAUAGUUUCAAGAGGCUCUCGUAAUUAGUUUUUUUUAUUUAUUUCUUUAUUAGUGAGUUCUGCAGCCCGAGGCUGGCUGUUACAGCUUUUUAAUUAGUGAUUCAUCAGCAAAUCUGUCAGGAUUGGCAACAAACCAUCCGAUUUAUGUACACAUUAAGCUCAAAAUGGUUUUGGCGAAACCCGAACACCGAUGGAGAUUGCUUCAUACCAAGUUUACAGAUCAUACAAAAAUCAAACAAUGCCUCAAGCGAGCGUAAACUGCACUUCCAGGCAGCAGGUCAUCACCCAGUCGAGACAGGAGUCAAUAAUGUCGUCCGAAGUAAUAUAUCCAUUUGGUAGAAUUAGACCCUUGUAAUAUAUAAAAAUAGAAAUAAACAUGAAACAUAAAAUAGAAACAUCAAGAUUCAAAAAAUAGGAAAUUACCAAGAAAGAACUAGCCGCCUGAAUAAUCAAGGUACAAUUAAUGUUUGUUUCAAGCUAUAAAUUUGUUUGAAUCAAAUCAAUGUUUUGUUAUUCCAAUCUAAAUUUCUUAGUUUGAAACAACCAAAAUCAUUAGUCGAUUAUACGGCUGUCAAAAUAACAAACUAAGAUUUUGGUUGUUUCAAACAAAUGAUUGUUUGAUUCAGUUGUCAAAGUGGC